rnacentral:rRNA from 1 species
UACGUAGGGACCAAGCGUUGUUCGGAUUUACUGGGCGUAAAGGGCGCGUAGGCGGCCUAGCAAGUCACUUGUGAAAUCUCCGGGCUUAACUCGGAACUGCCAAGUGAAACUGCUGGGCUAGAGUGCAGAAGGGGCAAUCGGAAUUCUUGGUGUAGCGGUGAAAUGCGUAGAUAUCAAGAGGAACACCUGAGGUGAAGACGGGUUGCUGGGCUGACACUGACGCUGAGGCGCGAAAGCCAGGGGAGCAAAAGGG